GAUGAAGAACGUAGCGAAAUGCGAGAAGUAAUGUGAAUUGCAGAAUUCAGUGAAUCAUCGAAUCUUUGAACGCACAUUGCGCCCAUUAGCAUUCUAGUGGGCAUGCCUGUUCGAGCGUCAUUUCAACCCUUAAGCCCUGUUGCUUAGCGUUGGGAGCCUACAGUACUGUAGCUCCCCAAAGUUAGUGGCGGAGUCGGUUUCACACUCUAGACGUAGUAAUUUUUUCUCGUCUGUAGUUGAGCCGGUCCCCUGCCGUAAAACACCCAAUUUAUCAAGGUUGACCUCGGAUCAGGUAGGAAUACCCGCUGAACUUAAGCAUAUCAAUAAGCGGAGGA
rnacentral:misc_RNA from 1 species